UGGGGAAUUUUGGACAAUGGGGGAAACCCUGAUCCAGCAAUGCCGCGUGAGUGAAGAAGGCCUUCGGGUUGUAAAGCUCUUUCAGUUGAGAAGAAAUGAUUAUGGCUAAUAAUCAUAAUUGAUGACGGUAUCAACAGAAGAAGCACCGGCUAACUACGUGCCAGCAGCCGCGGUAAUACGUAGGGUGCGAGCGUUAAUCGGAAUUACUGGGCGUAAAGGGUGCGCAGGCGGUUAUGUAAGUCAGAUGUGAAAUCCCCGGGCUUAACCUGGGAAUUGCGUUUGAAACUACAUGACUAGAGUGUAACAGAGGGAAGUGGAAUUCCAUGUGUAGCAGUGAAAUGCGUAGAGAUAUGGAGGAACAUCGAUGGCGAAGGCGACUUGCUGGACUUGUGGUGACGCUGAGACGCGAAAGCGUGGGGAGCAAACAGGAUUAGAUACCCCCGUAGUCCCUGAGCGGGCUGGCAAGGCGCAU
rnacentral:rRNA from 1 species